rnacentral:rRNA from 1 species
CCUACGGGAGGCAGCAGUGAGGAAUAUUGGUCAAUAGACGAGAGUCUGAACCAGCCAAGUAGCGUGAAGGAUGACUGCCCUAUGGGUUGUAAACUUCUUUUAUAUGGGAAUAAAAUGUUCCACGUGUGGGAUUUUGUAUGUACCAUAUGAAUAAGGAUCGGCUAACUCCGUGCCAGCAGCCGCGGUAAUACGGAGGAUCCGAGCGUUAUCCGGAUUUAUUGGGUUUAAAGGGAGCGUAGGUGGCUUGUUAAGUCAGUUGUGAAAGUUUGCGGCUCAACCGUAAAAUUGCAGUUGAAACUGGCAGUCUGGAGUACAGUAGAGGUGGGCGGAAUUCGUGGUGUAGCGGUGAAAUGCUUAGAUAUCACGAAGAACUCCGAUUGCGAAGGCAGCUCACUGGACUGCAACUGACACUGAGGCUCGAAAGUGUGGGUAUCAAACAGGAUUAGAUACCCCAGUAGUC